CUUCCUGCUUUGCAUAAAAGGGAUCAGACAGCCGUUAAAUCUGAAGGCUUGUUACAAUUCUGACGACAUUUGUUCAAACCACUAGAAAGCAUCAGCUAUGGUGUCGGUUGUUUCAGUUGCCUGGAUCAUUUUAUUCUACUCUGUUGGGACUGAGGGUCAGAUCACAAUGACUCUGACUCCAGCCACAGUCUCAGUGUCUCCUGAGCAGGAUGUCAGUCUCCAGUGCAGCGCAAGUCAGGGCAUUAGCUGGAGUUUAACCUGGUACCAGCUCAAGCCUGGGCACAGUCCCAGACUGCUGAUUAAAGCUGGGGAUGAGAGAUUCCAUGGAGUUCCCACUCAUUUCGGUGGCAGCAGAUCGGGAACUGUCUUCACCUUCAAAAUCACUGGAGUCCAGGCUGAAGAUGCAGGAGAUUAUUACUGUCAGCAGUAUGACAGCACUCAACCCAGCAGCAAAACCCUACCCUCUUGACAUGUUUAGCUGCCGUUGACUGCUGGUAAACAACUUUACAAAUUAAUGCUCAAAACUGGACCACCAUUUUAAUUUGUUUCUUCCUACCUUACAGCCAGUAUAUUUACCCAAAAGUCUCUGUACAGUAGAGAGAGCAACAGAAGAUGGGGAGAAGGCAUAUACUCAUCUAAUGUCAGCUGCUGCAUGUGUAUCCCAAUGGCAGUUCAGAGCUCUGUAACCCCACGGUGCAAAUACUGAACCCUGAUCACGACUCUAGACCAGACUUUGGGUUCUUUGCUCCUUGUGUCUGGAGGACAAUGUGGGAAGAAAUCACAACAGACCUGCAAGAUCAAACAGGAAUAUAUAACACUGUGAAAAAAAAUAUGUUUCCUUUUCUACACUCCACGGAGUACGCUAUUGUAUUCUACAUUCUAGAUUUUUUUUUCAAGAAAAAAGUCAUUCUGGCCCCCGGUUUACACUGAGGAAAAGUGGGAUUAUUGCUGACUUCUGAACACAGCAUUCUUGCAUAUGAGUGAAGUGCUUUCAUUGGUGCCUUAAGGUGUGUUUCGUUAAUGAGGUCAAGUGUGAUCUUCUUCAGAGAAAAGACUCAUGCAUUGAGGAAAACUGCCUACACAUCUCUCUGCUGUUUGCAGGUGUGUUUUGUUAAUGAGGUCAAGUGAGAUCUUCUGAGAAAAGACUCAUGCAUUGAAGAAAACCACCUACCCAUCUCUCUGCUGUUUGCAGAUAGGAAACAAAAAGAGGAAAUGAAAGAGAGAACUCUCAGAAGAUGUAUCGAAAGACUCUGCAGUGUCUCGAACCCUCUCUUCUAGGUUGCCAGCUCUCUGGUCCUGGGAAGCCUUCUGUGUGGAGUCUGGAUGUUCUCACUCUGAUCAAGGAGGAUUUGUCUUUGUCCUCCAGUUCUUCCCGCCUCCUGAGCCCUGAUUGCCAGAAUAAUCGAUCUCUGCAAGUUAUUGCCCCUGUCUGCUGGUAUCAAAGUGCACUGGGAUGGACUGGCAUCCUAGCUGCUGUCCCUCCUUGCGCGUAGACCUCCAGAUUAGACUCUGGACCAGGAAUAAGAGACUUUCUGAUGAUGGAUGGAUUCAAAAGGAUGUGUGAUGCAAGAACACAACCACAUGCAUAUUGGUUGCAUAUUAUCAGUUGAUCUUCCUAGUUAGAUUCCUCACUGGGUCGCCGUCUGUAACCCUGUCAGCAGCAGAACCAUGAGUCCCCCCACAGACUGGACUCCAGUGGUUUGGUGGUGAGCAACUGUGUGACAGAGAGUAGGAGGUGGGGUUUAUUAUGAAUUACAGAGCAGGGUCAGUCAGCAGGGCUUUGAAGUGUUGUGAUUGCUUCUCUUUUGCUUCCUCUGCAAAAAUUAAACCCAAGAG